UUUCAGCUUUACUGUGUAUGUAAGAUGCCUAAGCAUCACUAUUUUGAUCAAGUCAAAGGCUGCUGUUCCCUGGCAUCGUUUCCACAUGCUCACUGCUGUCUUCUAGCAAAGCCUGAAUCUACAGAAUGGAGUCAAAGUUGGGGUGAAGAAGCCAUCUAUUCAGCAGUGAAACAGGGCUAAGCCUUGAAACAACGCUCAGAUACUCUCCAAAAGGAGCUGUUGAUUUUCCCCAGCCAUUCUCCAUGCACUGGGUGGUAUUGGAGGGCAGUGGAGCUCUCUCUGCCCGGUGGGAUGCCAGGGAGCUGUGACAGAUGGGAGACUGUUAAUAUUGAACACAUCAUUACGCUGGCCACAGCCUCAAUUCCUUCUGCAGCAAUGUGUAAGGAGGGCAUCAAUAUUAAGGGAAUAAUGUUGCUGAGUUUCUCCCAAGGGGAAACCAUGGAGGGCACAGCUUUCCAUGGGGCCAUCAGCUAGGGCUGGUCCAAGGACACCAGCAGACCCUGCACUGAAGCUCUCUACUAGCACUAUGUUCUCAAAUGUUGCCCCAUCAACACUGUUCUCCAUCCUCCCCCUGCUUGGCUGUGCAGAUUUGGGCAUUUGUGCCUGAAUUUCUCCAUUUUUGCACAAGAGUUCAUCACCAAACUCAUGCUAUGCACACACUGGGCCCAGUGUGAGGGCUGAUGGAUUUGUGCUGGAAGGAGCCACACUUACCUGUUCUUACACCAGCUGCCCAAAAUAUGUUAAUCCAAGCCCAUGAACAGAACCCCCCUUGUUUUUGUUGUGUGAGACACAGAUUUAGAAUAAUAGAAUCAUUAAGGUUGGAAAGGACCUCUAACAUCACCAAGUCCAACCGUCAUUUACUGCAUACAACAUCUUAUUUACAAGUUACCCAUAAUACUGCAAAUACUAUUUGCUGUGUUGGGCAUUAUUGCAUAUUGUCAUGGCUUUUUCUAAGGAUGGUGAGCACCAGUUUUGCCUGGGCUGCCACCAUGGAGCCUUUUCUCAUAACACGGGGCAACCUUUGACUUUUUGCUGUGUUUUUUCUCAGUGUGGCUCAUGCCAGGCACGGUUUCAGCUGCACCCCCAAGAGGCCGUUUCCCUUGGGAGCUCCCACACCGCACCCAAGAAAAAGCUUUAUUUAUACUCAUUUAGCUGCUUGCCUUUUACAUAAUUGCAAUCAUUAACCUUCUCGCUUAAUGAAGAACGUGCCCGGGGGCCGGUGGGCCCCUCCUGGGCCGCGCUGUGGAUUCCUGCCCAUUGCAAUGAGUAGGCCAGCUGAGACAUCCUUGGGAGGUGGCCUCAGGAGUGGGGCCCCAAACCUGCUCUGCAUCCCAGUGCUGCCAGCAGUGGGACUUUGCCUCACGGUGCCCAUGGGGGCGGCAGGGCUGGUGCUGGCAUCUCAUCUUGGCAGAGAAGUCAUCCGCACUGACCACGGGGAGGGCUUUUUGCCCGCCGGGUCCCACUUUGCUCCCCUAUAUUUAGCCCGUUAUGAAUAUGGAAUAGCGUUGAAAAUGAUUCGCAUAGACAUCCCUCUGUCCAGCUGAAUAACGUCAACGGCGGUCGCAGGGAAGGCAGCGCUCGCCCUGACAGAGGCCCCAGUGCUGGGCAACACAAAGCCACACUGGUGGCCGUGCAGAGCCCAUCCCUGGGAUGCUUGGGGUGCCACGGGGACCCAAGGGGCACGAGCCUUCUGAUUGUUGUCCAAGGUCCCAGCUGGCUGGGGCAGGACCUGAACGGUGCUCAGCUGUGUGCCCGUCUCUGGGGGCAAGGCCAUCCGUGGCCACACGAUGCAGUGUGUGGAGAUAUGGAGCUCAAGCUUUAAACCCAAGUAUUGCCCAUGGGUGUGCUGAGUUGGACAAGAUGGUCUAUGGUUGGACCUGGUGAUCUCAUUCCAACCGGAAUGGUUCUAUAGUUCUGUGCUCACCAUCGUGCUUGGCUGGGGAGCUCUUCUCUUCCCCCAACAGCAUUUGGGUACGUUCUGUCCACCUUUCUCCUGCCCCUGUUGCCCAUGGGGUUUGGGCAUCCCACUGGCUAGGGAUUUUGUCCCCAGGAAUCAUCAAAUCAUUAAGGUUGGAAAGAUCACUGAGAUCAUCUAAUCCAACCA